rnacentral:lncRNA from 1 species
UAAAGUCUACAGGAGUAUACAGUAAUGUCCUAGGUGUUCACAUUCACUCAUCACUCACUCAUUCACUCACCCAGAGUAACUUCUAGUUCUGCAAGAUCCAUUCAUUGGAAACAGAAGUUGAUGGAGACCUUGGAGUUGGGAAAGAAAAGGAGGCCAAGAAGGAUAACUGGUAGUAGAGUGGCCUUACAGCUAGAUGAGGAAUUCGGAUUCUAGUCUUCAGCUGAAGUUCUCUGGAAUGGUCAUGAAGAGAGAAAACAUCAAAGAUUAGGAAAUCUAUCCCAAAAAGAUCACAAAAUCAAGGACAGUGACACCUUUUUGAGCUUUUUACUUGACUCUUCCUGUUUUUUUUUUUUUCCACUUCCCUUAGUCAUUCACUAAUCAGUUCUGCUUUAGAACCAUUAAAAUAAUAGAAAAGUUACAGAAACUUGGUAAAAUGUUUCUCUGGCCUAUUUCCAAACCGCCCAAAAUUAAUGGGAAAUGGUUAAAGUCAAAAAAGCUUUUUCUCUGACAUGGAUUUCUAAACAAUAUAAUUAUGGUUCACUCCAUGGUUAUGAGCUUUGGGAGCUCCCACAAAAAAGUCUUUGCUGCAGAUGUGGCCACUGGCUGCUAUACCAGGCAAUUUGAUUCAUGUUUGUUGUUGUUAAAAAAAUAUAUAAAACUCUCUUAUGUUGGAUUAAGAGGCUUUUAAGAGGAAGCUAGACAGAAAGGCCAGGUCUCUCUCUAUUUGCUCAUUCAUGACAAAGGUGGAAGCUUCAAAUUUGUGAUACAUGUGAAGAAGGUGUCUGUUACUUCGUGUUACAUUUUUGCCUUCAGAAUUAUUGUUUUCAAUCAUUCUAUUUUAUAUAAAUGCACAAAAAAUAAGUCCAAGCUAAACUAGUGAUGCUGGGUCACUCCAAGAAGUGUCCUCAAUAUAGCUUCACAAAUUUACCCUUUUCUCUCCAAAUCCACGUUUAUUUCUUGAGACAGUUAUAUGAUGUUUUGCCAAGAAAGCAACUGGGAGCAAUGCCUUAUGUUUAACUGGGCUUUUAGAUUUGAGAAGCAAUCCAAUCCAAGACUUCAUGAUAAGACUUCCACAGCAAUUGGAUAUUAGUGACAUAUAAGGACCUUAAGAACUCCACCAUUUUAUACUCUAUAUAAAUGUAUGAUGUGGUACACAAAGUAUUAAUCAAUACUUCAUGAGCAUAGUAGCUCUGUUUAUACCAAUUUCUAGCAAUGUACAUUAGGCAAUUUUGUAGAAAAAAUAUAAUAAUUGAAAGUAUAAUUUAACUUCCACUCCAUGAACACUUAGCCUCUUCAUACCAUCCUCUUCCAAGCAUUUCUUUGGUCCUUGGAAAAUCAGUGAAAAAUCUGAAAAAUUGGGAUUUUGUGUUUGAUUAUAUGUACAUUUACUACAAGUAUACUGGGCUUUCCUUUUCUGAUGCUAUAGAGAUGAACUAUAGCUUUCCUAACUCAGUCUUAUUAUUAGCCAGGUCCAGUUUAUAUUAGUUAAAAUGAACAUCAUAAAUUUACAGUAUAACUUAUCUGGUACAUUCCUUCUAUUGUAGUUUGAAAAUGUGCCAUUCAGGACUGAAAUGACUUAAACAUAAUCAGAUUUUAUUUCUAGAGAAGUAAAGUCUAUACUUCUAUAAUUCUGUGAACCCAUCAGCAAUUAACUUUGUCCCAGUAGAAUUAAUAUAGUGUUCAAGUUCAGGAUUGAGUAGAUGAGAAGAGGAAGGAACAAUAAAACUCAUUCACUCCCAUGCUAGGUUCUGCAAAAUAGCUUCCAUAUUCCCAUAAUGUGAUAUUUAUCUUCCUUAUAAUAGCACAUUUAAAGUCAGUAACCCUAAAAAUCUCCUACAUAAAGGUUUGCAUCUUUCCCCUUAAAAAUGUACAGAUGAGCUUGUGAUAAAGAGAUGAUGUCUCCUGCCAAAUUGUAAUAUCAUAUAGACCAGUUCCAGGCAAAGUAUUGAAGAAGCAGUCAAAACUUCAUAUACCUAUCUAUCCUUGUCAGCCUCACGUAUUCAUGGAUGGGGUCACAGCUUAUCCCUUUAUUCUUUUUGGUUAGAAAGUCUUUCCAGAUGAGGUCAUCAUUUUCAUUACUCUGUUUCUUCCUCUCUCACUAGAGUGUCUUUCUAAAGGAAACCAAGGACCACUUCAGUGAAAUAUUGAAGGCAGGGGAGGCCCUAAAUGAUUAAAAGAAACAAAGCUUUCCCAUAGCACGUGUCCUUUUCUUUGUAAGGAGAUGAGGUAAUAUAUAAUCUUCCCACGUUACUACCACAAGGGCAUUUUGUGGCAGGGAGAGAUGGAUUUCUGGGAGUGAAAUCCAACUGCAAAGCAAGGGCUAUUUUCAGAAGGGCUUAUCUUCAAUAUCCUCAUUUCAGAAUUGGUCUCUUUGCUCAGAGCAAUACCUUGGGCAACACUGAGAACUCCCAUCUCUAAGGUAAGAAUAAAAGUUAUUUCCUCAUUGAUGGAAUAUCUGAUGAAGAAAAAGGAAGACAAAAAACAAUAAAUUAUUCUCAUAAAAGGUGAUGCAUAUGAAUAAAUGUCAAAUCCUUCUAGUAUUUCUCAUGUGGCUUGUACACAAGACUUCUAUUUGAUCUUUGGCUCUGCAGUUUCUACCACUAGAUGACCCACAUGUGUAAUCUGGAUAGGCAGCUAGUUUGCUUACAUAUAAAUUAAAUAGCCUCAAGUGUCAGCAGAUCUCUGUAUCUUUUUAAUAUCCCCCAAACUGCUUCAAGUAGGAACAGCUACAAAGAACCUUACCAAAGGACAUGGAAUUCACACUUGCCAAAGAAAUCACUGCACGUGUAAAUUAGAAACUAA